rnacentral:rRNA from 1 species
CUGGCCUCAAAUCAGGUAGGACUACCCGCUGAACUUAAGCAUAUCAAUAAGCGGAGGAAAAGAAACUAACAAGGAUUCCCUUAGUAACGGCGAGUGAACCGGGAAAAGCUCAAAUUUGAAAUCUGGCUGUCUUCGAUAGUCCGAGUUGUAAUCUAUAGAAGCGUUUUCCGUGCUGAACUGUGUCUAAGUCCCUUGGAACAGGGUAUCAAAGAGGGUGACAAUCCCGUACUUGACACAAUCAUCAGUGCUCUGUGAUACGUUCUCUACGAGUCGAGUUGUUUGGGAAUGCAGCUCAAAAUGGGUGGUGAAUUCCAUCUAAAGCUAAAUAUUGGCGAGAGACCGAUAGCGAACAAGUACCGUGAGGGAAAGAUGAAAAGCACUUUGGAAAGAGAGUUAAACAGUACGUGAAAUUGUUAAAAGGGAAACGAUUGAAGUCAGUCGUGUUUAUUGGAUUCAGCCGGUCUUCGGUGUACUUCCUUUAAACGGGUCAACAUCAGUUUUGUUCGGUGGAUAAAGGUAUUAGGAAUGUGGCUUCUCCGGAAGUGUUAUAGCCUAGUAUCACAUACACUGGAGGAGACUGAGGAAUGCAGCUCGCCUUUAUGGCCGGGGUUCGCCCACGUUCGAGCUUAGGAUGUUGACAUAAUGGCUUUAAACGAC